rnacentral:lncRNA from 1 species
GGCUUUAGAAAAUUAAAGUAUUGCUGGGCAUGGUGGCACGUGCCUGUAGUCCCAGCUACUUGGGAGGCUGAGGUGGGAGGAUCGCUUGAGCCUAGGAGUUCUCUAGCAGGAUCAGGUGUCCGCACCAAGUUUGGCAUCAAUAUGGUGACCUCCCAGGAGCAGGGAACCACCAGGUUGCCCAAGGAGGGGUGAGCUGGCCCAGGUUAGAAACACAGCAGGUCAAAACUCCUGUGCUGAUCAGAAAGUUAAAGUAUCUUUUCUUAACCUCAGUUUCCUCAUGUGGAAAAUGAAACCUACCUCUGAGUGCUGCUAUGAAACUUAAAUGCUUGGCAUAAAUAACUGUUGAAUAAAUGUUAAUUAUUAUCAUCAUUAGAGUAGAUAAGAUAUAGGUUCAUUAGUGGAAGCAGUGUAAUAAUGUAACUAUUAUCCUAAUAGUUCAAUUUCACAAAAUUCUUGAGAAUGAGAUCCAUAGACCUUGUUAAGUAAUAUCCAAAUAGAGGUGCUACUAGAAAUGUAUUAUUUGAUGUUCAUAUAGUUAUAGAACCACUUUAUUUUCUGAGUGUAUACCAAUUUAUUAUUGCAUAUAACUUGUAUUCUUUAAAAGGUACUUUAUUACAGAAAAAAUUAAUUUUGGUACAGUUAGUUCAGGAUACAAUGAAAUAAUGAUGAACUAUCCUUGUAACUGAAUUAAUUAUAUGAAGUAUAUGUCUUCUGUUUUGAGGUUUUCUAUGAUUAAGUAUUUGAUUAGGUUCUGGGUUCAAAGCUCAUCAAUAUUUUAAAAGAAAAGAUUACACUUAAGCAACAUAAGUCUUCUCACUGCUAGUGGGUGAACAUGGUGAACUAACUUCUAUGUGAACACAGACCAUGCAACUAGAGUUAGUUUCAUGUAUGAUCUCUCAAGAUAUCUAACACUGAAUGGCCCUCUUAAAGUUAAGACUACUGAGUUACAACCAUAAAUUUAGAAAAUAUUAGACACAAGGUUUAUUUGUAUUCUCUUUUCCCAACGGAGCCCCUAAAAAUAAAU